rnacentral:rRNA from 1 species
GACGAACGCUGGCGGCGUGCCUAAUACAUGCAAGUCGAACGAGAGCGACCGGUGCUUGCACUGGUCAAUCUAGUGGCGAACGGGUGAGUAACACGUGGGUAACCUGCCCAUCAGAGGGGGAUAACAUCCGGAAACGGAUGCUAAAACCGCAUAGGUCUUCGAACCGCAUGGUUUGAAGAGGAAAAGAGGCGCAAGCUUCUGCUGAUGGAUGGACCCGCGGUGCAUUAGCUAGUUGGUGAGGUAACGGCUCACCAAGGCCGUGAUGCAUAGCCGACCUGAGAGGGUGAUCGGCCACAUUGGGACUGAGACACGGCCCAAACUCCUACGGGAGGCAGCAGUAGGGAAUCUUCCGCAAUGGACGCAAGUCUGACGGAGCAACGCCGCGUGAGUGAAGAAGGUUUUCGGAUCGUGAAACUCUGUUGUUAGAGAAGAACAAGUGCUAGAGUAACUGUUAGCGCCUUGACGGUAUCUAACCAGAAAGCCACGGCUAACUACGUG